GCUGUUAAGGGUUCGUAGUUGAAUUGGGGGCUGUCAAGGAAACGACAAAGUCCUUUCCUCCGGGUUGUGACCGUCGCUCUUGCAGCUCGAGAACAUCAGAAACGACACCGCGGGAUUGGACCUUCCAACUUACGCGUGCAAUGCACGCAGGGAGGCGCCCGCGAUAUUUACUGUGACAAAGAAGUGUGACCAAAGCAGUCAAACGACAUGAAUUAGAAAGCAUGGGAUAACAAAGGGCAGCCUACGGAUUACCGUUUCGGCUUUUGUUGGUUUUAAAGGUCUGUGGGAGACUAUGGCACGUGUGAACAGCGCAGGAUACGUCCUCGCCCUCUACUUUCUUCGCUUGCGGAGUUGGUCAGACGCACGCCGUCCAGGAAUGAAGGAGGGUUGUUCGGGGGAGAACGUACUUGAACGUGGAGGUGAAAUUCUUAGACCGUUCAAAGACGAACUACAGCGAAGGCAUUCUCCAAGGUACCUUCCUCAAUCAAGAACCGAAGUGUGGAGAUCGAAGAUGAUUAGAUACCAUUGUAGUCC
rnacentral:rRNA from 1 species